AGAAAUCAAGAGGAGAGAAAAUAGAUUGGACACCAUACGGCCCUCAGGAAAACCCUAGACACAAAGCAAGAAGUUGUUGCAGGAUCUGUGGACUUCAAGCUAGAGGAGAAGGAGGUACCGAGGAGCCGCAAUUGCUUUUGAAGCCUUCUCCCCAACACUAAAACAAUCAGACCGACUCCUAGUGUCGACAAGGAACAAGUUUACCUGCUGCCUUUUCAUCCCAGCAAGGAACCUUUCCACUGAAGCAGGAGUUGGCGGUUUCUGUUUGUGAGGGGCCACGCGCGGGGAGGGGUGGAAGGAAGAGGGUCGCUCCUGGGCUAUAUUUGGAAAAGAAUUCCGACGUCCUUCCAGCAGAGCUGUGCAAAAGAUGGACGGAUCGAUAGAUAUGGGUCUGACUGAGUCACAAGCCAACCGAAGUGUUGCCAUUGACUUCAAUGCCACCAUCAUGAAACCUUUGACGUUGUUCCCAUCUCCCGGUAGAGUUUGGGCGUGAGGGGGGAAAGCCACCUUCCUUUCCCGACCUUUGCUCCACAAUCAAAGAUCCCCCAUUGUCUCAGGACCCCAAAUGUAUCGGUGGGGUCUGUCAUCCUACGCAAAACGGGCCAGAUCUACUCCCGGUGUCGGAUAUAGAUACAGCGCGUGAUCCACGUGUUCUCGCUUAUAUCACUCAUGCAUGAAUUCAGCGCCGCCGCCCAACAGACGCGCCCAAACUUUGUGAAACGUAGUGAAACCACUAGUCAUCUGAAACCAUCGAAUCCCGAAUUAAAGCUCAUCCACCACCCCUGCCUGGUAGACAGGACAGCGAUGGCGGGUUUGUCCCCGAUUAAAAUGACGUCUUUCAGUUGAGUGGUUUUGUUUCGUUUAAGGAUUCAGACCAGAAAUUGCCCUGUGACAUAGGCAAGAAGCAGCCAUAUCACUGAGGGAAGAUAUCAACCGAUUACUCCCAAAAUAGCGAAUCUUUCCGGCGGGGAGGUUACUUGCUUAACUCUGAGCUAGUUGUUUUAGCUCCAGAGGACACUUUUCCUCCGUUGGACUCAUGAGGGCUUCGCGGACUAUUCUGUGAUUUUUGAGGCUGUAAUGCUGGCGUAGGAGGAUGCAUCGACUUUCUCCGCAAUGGCCCGGAGCGCACAGGAACACAAACACACACGCCUGGACAGACACAUGUGCGCGCAACACGCGCACCCCGGCAAACCCAGCCAUCCCCAGUACCAAAGGCCCAGACACAGACACACGCCUCGCGAACGCACCCAGCGAGCCCGCCGGUUCUGCGCGCUCUC